UGCAGGACUUGUGAAAAGGAAGAGGACCGAUGUUUUGAGAGUUGAGAGUUCGGCGUUUCGGUUCGGGCCCAAGGUGACGGCGCUCUCUGCGGUGGCGGCGUGACCUUGCCAGAAGGUCGCGGCGGGCAGGACCUGGCAGUCCAGUUACGUCAACAAGGCGUGCUUCCGAACGCAGGAAAAACUGCAGGGAAAUGAACCUGGAGGCGUGAUUCCCAUUGUUUACACAAAGCCUGGCGAAUUCAUGUUCCCAGGAAAGGGCUGUUUACCAAAGCGUAUCUUUUUGGAACAAAGGAAAAGCCUCAUUUCUGCCUUCUGCCUUCUUCCACGCCUCGCGAACGUUACGCAGAAUAGGCUGAGGACCUUCACUGCAGCCAGACCCAAAAGAAUACCUUUUGAAUUGCGGGCUAUUCACAGCAGGCUAAUACUUGACUUUCGGACAGGCAUAUAGAGAUGCAUUAGUUUAUUCCUUUUCAUUUCACAUUUCAGCAUGCAUUUUCCUUCUGUUAACACAAAUGGGCUUUGUUUGUUUUGUUUGGCUAACAAAAAAAUAACGUGUGCCAAUUCAAAUCCAAUACUAUUUUUUUUUCAAACAAAGUUGAGUGGUUUAAUUUUCAGCCAGAUGCAGUUGUUUGGAACCCAGACAGGGGGUUAUGGGGAAAUAGAGCAGCAUGUUUUAUGUGCCAUUCUGAACCUCUUAGUGCAAGGACGGGCUGUUGUUAAUGUGGGCGUGCAUUCUCCCCAGAGUGACUGUUUCCCAGUCGACCGUAUUACUUUCUUGCAUUUAAAAACACUAAAUAUA